UACGUAGGGUGCAAGCGUUAAUCGGAAUUACUGGGCGUAAAGCGUGCGCAGGCGGUUUUGUAAGUCUGACGUGAAAUCCCCGGGCUCAACCUGGGAAUUGCGUUGGAGACUGCAAGGCUAGAAUCUGGCAGAGGGGGGUAGAAUUCCACGUGUAGCAGUGAAAUGCGUAGAGAUGUGGAGGAACACUGAUGGCGAAGGCAGCCCCCUGGGUCAAGAUUGACGCUCAUGCACGAAAGCGUGGGGAGCAAACAGG
rnacentral:rRNA from 1 species